CCUUCUCUAUUAAUAGAUGAACACAACAACGCUCUGGUCGGUUCGUAGUCUUCACACAUUCUCCUCAGAGGCUGUUCAUUAGCUGGAAUCUCUUCAGGCUGUUCAGUGGGAUUUGCAUGUUUGGUUCUCAGAACAGCAGACACGUUUUUUUGGACCCUGGAAACAUGGAGGCUGUGGUUGGACUGUUUGUGAUGCUUCUGGGAGUCUCUCACGGUGUGGAAACCCACUGUGACGGCCGACAGAACGGAGCUCAGUGUUUUGGAGCUUUGGGAGGAACUCUGGUCCUCCAGCUGAUGGACAAAGACUCAGAAAU